GGAUUCAUUGGGUUUAAAGGGUGCGCAGGCGGAUUGGUAAGUCAGGGGUGAAAUCCCACAGCUCAACUGUGGAACUGCCUUUGAUACUGUCAGUCUAGAGUAUAGUUGAAGUUGGCGGAAUGUGUCAUGUAGCGGUGAAAUGCUUAGAUAUGACACAGAACACCGAUCGCGAAGGCAGCUAGCUAAGCUAUAACUGACGCUCAUGCACGAAAGCGUGGGGAUCAAACAGGAUUAGAUACCCUGGUAGUCCACGCUGUAAACGAUGAUUACUCGAUGUUGGCGAUACACAGUCAGCGUCUGAGCGAAAGCAAUAAGUAAUCCACCUGGGGAGUACGAUCGCAAGAUUGAAACUCAAAGGAAUUGACGGGGGCCCGCACAAGCGGAGGAGCAUGUGGUUUAAUUCGAUGAUACGCGAGGAACCUUACCUGGGCUCGAACGUAAGAUGACUGUAGGUGAAAGCUUACAUCUCUUCGGAGCAUUUUACGAGGUGCUGCAUGGUUGUCGUCAGCUCGUGCCGUGAGGUGUCGGGUUAAGUCCCAUAACGAGCGCAACCCCUACCUUUAGUUGCCAUCAGGUCAUGCUGGGGACUCUAAAGGAACUGCCUACGCAAGUAGUGAGGAAGGCGGGGAUGACGUCAAAUCAGCACGGCCCUUACGUCCAGGGCUACACACGUGCUACAAUGGCCGAUACAGAGGGCAGCUACCUGGUGACAGGAUGCAAAUCUCCAAAGUCGGUCUCAGUUCGGAUCGGAGUCUGCAACCCGACUCCGUGAAGUUGGAUUCGCUAGUAAUCGCGCAUCAGCCAUGGCGCGGUGAAUACGUUCCCGGGCCUUGUACACACCGCCCGUCAAGCCAUGGAAGCUGGGGGGACCUAAAGUCGAUAACCGCAAGGAGUCGCCUAGGGUAAAACCAGUGACUGGGGCUAAGUCGUAACAAGGUAGCCG
rnacentral:rRNA from 1 species